UCUAUAAGAAACCACAUUCCAUUGGUACGUGGUUUCUUAUAGGUUGAAAUUUGUGCUGUGCUAUUUCUAUCGCUAUUGCCUCGCAUUGUGUCUCAGGCUUUACUUUAUCUUUACUGGAAUUCUAAAGUACAAUAUUAGAGAACUGUGUUUUCAUUGACAUUAUUAAUAACUUUUCAUUUCUCUAUUCACUGCAGUCCUCCAAGAAAUUAGACAAAGCAUUACCUUCGCGUCUAUUCAUCCGCUUCUCCUCAUUUUCAUGCCUCGCCUUGGAAUGUCGGAACCACUCCAUAACUCGUCGUUGUAUUUUUCUCUGGUCGGAAUCCGGGAUAUUGUGAAUUUCUGCAGUGGUUCCUUUCCGCGUCGGCCUUCCCAGUUAUAUCUCUCCGCCAAUUUAUUGGAGAAUACUUUAUACAAUGUUCUCUUUACGGCAUCAUCGACACUUGUCCCUCCGAUGGAUUUGAUAUAUCCGCGCUAUAAAAUAAAAAGUGUUAUGUUGGGAAUUUGACGCUUUCAAGAUCUCCUCAACUUCCGCUAACUGAACUACGGUUUGCAAGGGAAACCGGUUUUCAGCGCCCUCAAAGGAAAUUUGUGUUCUCUCACAUUCUGUGUCUUUAUUAAUUUUGUCUACUAUGAUGUCUACUAAGGGCUGUUAUGCGAAUAUUCAUUGUCUGACCGACCAUGGGCAUGUAUCAAGCCAUCUCGAGUUUUCUCUCUUGGAGCAAUAAUAGUACGCGGCAUAUGUUCCUCAGCAUCUGUUUCACAUGAAGC